GAUGAAGAACGCAGCGAAAUGCGAUAAGUAAUGCGAAUUGCAGAAUUCCAGUGAGUCAUCGAAUCUUUGAACGCACAUUGCGCCCUUUGGUAUUCCGAAGGGCAUGCCUGUUCGAGCGUCAUUACAACCCUCAAGCUCAGCUUGGUGUUGGGCCCCGCCGCCCCGGCGGGCCCUAAAGUCAGUGGCGGUGCCGUCCGGCUCCGAGCGUAGUAAUUCUUCUCGCUCUGGAGGUCCGGUCGUGUGCUCGCCAGCAACCCCCAAUUUUUUUCAGGUUGACCUCGGAUCAGGUAGGGAUACCCGCUGAACUUAAGCAUAUCAAUAAGCGGAGGA
rnacentral:misc_RNA from 1 species